GCUGGGUGUGGUGGUGCACGCCUGUGGUUCCAGCUACUCAGGAGGCUGAGGUGGGAGGAUCCCUUGAACCCAGGAGUUCAAGGCUGCAGUGAGCCAUGCUCGUACCACUGCACUCCAGCCUGGGUGACAGAGCGAGACCCUGUCUCAA
ensembl:misc_RNA Metazoa_SRP Metazoan signal recognition particle RNA